rnacentral:rRNA from 1 species
GACGAACGCUGGCGGCGUGCCUAAUACAUGCAAGUCGAGCGCAGGAAAUCAUCCGAACCCUUCGGGGGGACGUUGAUGGAAUGAGCGGCGGACGGGUAAGUAACACGUAAAGAACCUGCCCUCAGGUCUGGGAUAACCACGAGAAAUCGGGGCUAAUACCGGAUGGGUCAUCGGACCGCAUGGUCCGAGGAUGAAAGGCGCUUCGGCGUCGCCUGGGGAUGGCUUUGGGGUGCAUCAGCUAGUUGGUGGGGUAAUGGCCCACCAAGGCGACGAUGCAUAGCCGACCUGAGAGGGUGAUCGGCCACACUGGGACUGAGACACGGCCCAGACUCCUACGGGAGGCAGCAGUAGGGAAUCUUCCACAAUGGACGAAAGUCUGAUGGAGCAACGCCGCGUGAACGAUGAAGGCCUUCGGGUCGUAAAGUUCUGUUGUAAGGGAAGAACAAGUGCCGCAGGCAAUGGCGGCACCUUGACGGUACCUUGCGAGAAAGCCACGGCUAACUACGUGCCAGCAGCCGCCGCCGUAA